rnacentral:rRNA from 1 species
UUCCGGUUGAUCCCGCCGGACCCCACUGCUAUCGGGAUAGGACUAAGACAUGCUAGUCAAGCGCUUUCUAGCUAAUGUGAGAGCGCGGCGUACAGCUCAGUAACACGUGGCCAACCUGCCCUUGGGACGGGAACACCCCCGGGAAACUGGGGUUAAUUCCCGAUAGGUGAAGAAGUCUGGAAUGAAUCUUCGCUCAAAAGACGUUUAUGUCAUGCUCAUAUUCGUCGCCCAGGGAUGGGGCCGCGACCGAUCAGGUAGUUGGUGAGGCAAUGGCUCACCAAGCCUUUUACCGGUGCGGGCCGUGAGAGCGGGAGCCCGGAGAUGGGCACUGAGACAAGGGCCCAGGCCCCACGGGGCGCAGCAGUCGCGAAAACUUUGCAGUACACGAAAGUGUGACAGGGCUAUCCCGAGUGCCAUCCGCUGAGGAAGGCUUUUACCCAGUAUAAAUAGCUGGGAGAAUAAGGAGAGGGCAAGUCUGGUGUCAGCCGCCGCGGUAAUACCAGCUCUCCGAGUAGUGUGGACGUUUAUUGGGCCUAAAGCAUCCGUAGCUUGCUAGAUAAGUCCUCUGUUAAAUCCACCGAUUCAAUCGUUGGAUUGCGGGGGAUACUGUUUGGCUAGGGGACGGGAGAGGUCGACGGUAUUUCCGGGGUAGGGGUGAAAUCCUAUAAUCCCGGGAAGACCACCAGUGGCGAAGGCUGUCGACUAGAACGCGCCCGACGGUGAGGGAUGAAAGCUGGGGGAGCGAACCGGAUUAGAUACCCGGGUAGUCCCAGCUGUAAACGAUGCA